AGGAGGAACAACCCCAGUGGCGGGGCCAGCUCUGGAGCCCUGGAUUCAGCCCCCGCAGGAACUCCGGAGCUCUCCGUCUGCAGGGCCUGGAGGCUCCGGGGCGGG
rnacentral:pre_miRNA from 1 species